CCGUCACUGGGCCUAUGCAGUAGGGAGUUGUUUGGCGAACCCCGCAAGUUUUUCUUGACUUUACUUGUCAUUUUGUGAUUACACACGCAAGCGGUCACUUUUUUUAACUUAUUUGUUUAUUUUUAUAGCACUGCUCGCUUCGCUUUUCACUCAUUACGCUUCCUUCAGCUGUAAAGAUACGGUCUUUCGGGGCGUGGUACACAACAAACAAUAAAUUUAAAAAAAAAAAAAAAAAAAAAAAAAGAGCCGGAGACGGAAGGGGAGCCUCUGUAAAUUCUGGCUGACCGCGGCUGAGCUUAUGAUGCCGACGUUGCGGGACAGCACAAUGUCCCACCCCGGUGAGAAUUCCCACCAAGUCCGGGUGAAAGCCUACUACAAAGGGGACAUCAUGAUCACCCACUUUGAGCCGUCCAUCUCGUAUGAGGGACUGUAUGGCGAAGUCCGGGAGAUGUGCUCCAUGGACAACGACCAGCUCUUCACCAUGAAGUGGAUUGACGAGGAAGGUGACCCAUGCACAGUGUCGUCUCAGCUGGAGCUGGAAGAAGCGCUGCGCCUCUACGAGCUCAACAAAGACUCGGAGCUCAUUAUCCACGUGUUUCCAUGUAUACCAGAGAAACCUGGCAUGCCCUGUCCUGGGGAAGACAAGUCCAUAUAUCGGCGAGGAGCGCGGCGCUGGAGGAAGCUCUACUUUGCCAGUGGCCACGCCUUUCAGGCCAAACGCUUUAACAGGAGAGCACAUUGUGCCAUCUGCACGGACCGCAUCUGGGGUCUCGGCCGACAGGGCUACAAGUGCAUCAACUGCAAACUGCUGGUGCACAAGAAGUGCCACAAGCUGGUCACCGUGGAGUGUGGCCGGCCCAUGAUCCAGGAGCCAAUUAUGCCUGGUCAACCUCCCAGUCAGUUAGACCCAACGGAACAGCCAGGCCCUCAGAAUAAAGACUCCAGAGAAAGCUUGACUUACGAUGGAGAGGAGAAAGAGGCGCGGAACAGCCGAGACACGGGGAAGUCGCCCUCCAGCCUCGGCCUGGCCGACUUCGACCUGCUGCGGGUGAUCGGCCGCGGCAGCUACGCCAAAGUGCUGCUUGUGCAGCUGAAGAAGACAGAGCGCAUCUACGCCAUGAAGGUGGUCAAGAAGGAGUUGGUCAACGACGACGAGGACAUCGACUGGGUCCAGACAGAAAAACAUGUUUUUGAGCAAGCGUCCAAUCAUCCCUUCCUGGUGGGCCUGCACUCCUGCUUCCAGACAGAAAGCAGACUCUUCUUUGUUAUUGAAUAUGUGAACGGCGGCGACCUCAUGUUCCACAUGCAGAGACAACGGAAGCUUCCGGAAGAGCACGCCAGGUUCUAUUCCGCAGAGAUCAGUCUGGCGCUAAACUACCUCCACGAGCGCGGCAUCAUCUACAGAGAUCUCAAGUUGGACAAUGUGCUGCUUGACUCUGAGGGACACAUCAAACUCACAGACUAUGGCAUGUGCAAGGAGGGCUUGAGACCCGGUGAUACGACGAGCACUUUCUGCGGCACCCCCAACUACAUUGCUCCCGAAAUACUCAGAGGAGAAGAUUACGCCUUCAGUGUGGACUGGUGGGCGCUGGGCGUGCUAAUGUUCGAGAUGAUGGCGGGCCGGUCACCCUUCGACAUCGUGGGAAGCUCUGACAAUCCCGACCAGAACACAGAAGACUACCUCUUCCAAGUCAUAUUGGAAAAACAGAUCCGAAUUCCCCGCUCGUUGUCUGUCAAAGCCGCCAGCGUCCUCAAGGGAUUCCUCAACAAGGAUUCCAAGGAGCGUCUGGGGUGUCACCCUCAGACGGGCUUCGCCGACAUCAUGGGCCAUCCCUUCUUCAGAAACGUCGACUGGGACCUUCUGGAGCAAAAGCAGGUGGUUCCCCCCUUCAAGCCCAACAUCUCGGGCGAAUUCGGCCUGGACAACUUCGACGCCCAGUUCACCAACGAGCCCAUCCAGCUGACGCCCGACGACGAUGACGUGGUGAAAAAGAUCGACCAGUCUGAGUUCGAGGGCUUCGAGUACAUCAACCCGCUGCUGAUGUCGGCCGAGGAGUGUGUGUGAAGGGAGAUACGCACAAACACGCACUUGCAUACACACGUGCCAUCUCAGUGUCUUCACGCUGUGUGGUUACGAGGCAACCCGGCGACAUCAUCAGUCAUAGUUUUCGUUGUUGCCAAAAGCAGUUUCACACUCUGCCAGUUAUAACCACUCGUCCUUAAGUCUUCUCUCUAUGAAUUAUUUUUAUAUCCUCUCUAUACAAAUAUACAAAUGUAUAAAUAUUACCUGCACUGAUAUUGUCAUCGGGGGCCUCUACCAAGUUCUUCCAAGGUUAUUUACUGUACACAGACUCAUUUUAUUUGUAUAUACGAAACUGCUGUUGAUCAAUGUUAGCCCUCUUUUUUAGCGCAGUCAUUGGAAUCACACCUCCUCUUUCUCCAAACACUAAAUAUGAAACUAUAUAUUUUUAUUUAACUACAGCUGUUAUGUGUGUUGUCCGUUUGUGGCCUGAGAAUAAGAACUGGAGUUGAGUCAGCUAAAAUACUGUGAACAAACAUAGCGUGUGUUAGCCUGACUUAAACAUUCACGCAGGACCCCAAAAAAAAACGUUGCUGGUACGCAUCUAUCUAGAAAUAAGCGUAUUUCCUCAACUAGUGGCCUUACUCUUCCGAUCCGGAAGACAAAUGAGUAAUAAGUGUAUUGAUCUCUGUUCAAAGAUAUUAAAGCGUUAACAGCUGGGCGGGUUUGCGAACUCUGUUGCUGGACGCAGCAUCGCAUACCGAGGAGUCGUGUAGAAUCUUACUGCACGUUUUAAACUAGCUUCCUCUGCGGUAUUAAGGAUGAUCUGGGGGGAAGCGAAUGAAUUUGUGUGCAUCAAUGUUUGUUGUCCCGGUUAACUGGAUUCUCUUCGGUUUUACUUUUUAAUUACACUUUGACUUGAUGUAAUUUGUACUUAAUGGAUGCCUCAAUCAUCGGCUGUCGAGUAAGGCCACUUUUUGUGGAAAUGCGCAAGUAUCCUGUCAUGUUUGCUCCGUUUAUGCCUUUUAUGUACUCUUAUUUCUCCAUUCCAUGUAAAAAUCAACAGGUUGAAGUACAUUUGAUUGUUUCUUUAGAACUGUUAUAUUUUCCUUAAAAAAAAAAAUAUAUAUCUGUAGAUUAUUUUUCUGAAUGAUUCCACUAACUUAAAACACUAAGCAACGGAGCGCCAACAUCCGAUAAACAUUGUCUGUUACUUUAUUUUAUUCAUGUUAUUACUUUUUAUUUGUAAUCACCAGAUCAAGUACGAAAUGUUACUGGGUAUGUUUUGGAAGCCACCCAAAGGACUCUGCUGACAUUUUAUUAUUAGCGUGCAAAAGGGCAAAAAAAAAAAAAAAAAGUCAAAUAAAACAUUUUUUCUCCUUGUGGUAAAAAAAAUAUAUAUAUAUAUAUGUUUCCAUUAUUAAUUGUAUAAACAUGUCUGAUUGUACUCAAAGAAACAUUGGAGUACAUUUUGUUAUUCUAGUCAUGAUAGACAUUUCGACCGAAUCUUAUGUUGGGAAAUUGGUUUCAGGGGCAAACAUUUUCUGGGUUCGGAAUAGCCAUCCUAACCCCCCGUUGAGAAAUAAACAGGAGACUUUGGUCGUUUGGUUAUAACCGAUGCAGGCACCAACAUUUGCUGACCCUCUUAGUGCAAUCGCAAACUCCACAGUUUCCGCUUUAAUGCAGCACUACGGUUUUCUUGCUGCCCUUAGUCUCCUUUCAAAUUAAGUUUUCCGCGGGAACUGACUGCCCCAAACCAAAUUGGUGCCUUGCAGUGGAAAAGCAGCUUGUGCUCACAUGCUAACAUUAGUCAACCCUUUUAGUGCAAUGGUAUAUUCCACAAACUCCGCUUUGCCCAGAGCGUCAUGUUGAAAAGUUCAUAUAAGGAAACCGAUGCACAGCCGCAAAAAGACCGUUCUCGUCGCCCUCAGUCUCCUCUUGAAUAAAAUGUGGUUUCCCGCGGAACUGACGACCCCAAAUGGAGUUGGUACACUUCAGUGGAAAAGUGGUGGUACUUGUGAUCAACUGCUAACAUUAGCUUACGAGUGUAGUGGUAUACUCCACAGUCCCCACUUUGCUCCAGCGCUCCCGUUUUUUCACCCCUUUGUCUCCUCUCAGAGAAAAUGUGUUCCAGUUAGUUGUGGUAGCCUUGCAUUCAAAGCAAAUUAAGGGGACUUGAAAAUUGUUGAGCAUGAGUUUUUCUUCCCUUCACUCAUCACGUCUGUAGCCCCCCCCCCCCCUUCUAAAGCUCCCCCUUGACCUCCCUCGAGGGUCAUUGACACCAGAGCACCACCCCGCUCCGCAACCCUUUCUUUCGCUGACCUAACGCCCCGCAGGAACCAUAAGGGUCAUUGAAAUGAUGAUGUGCCGCAAAUAAUGAAGCCGAUUGAUUUGUGUGCAUCAAUAAGUCGGAGCAAUGGUGGGGGGGGGGGGUUAUUUUCACACACGGUCUCAGGUGAAUCACAUUUGUUGUUGGGGGCGGGGGGUGAAUGACUACAUCCAGUACAUAUGUCUUUGCAUAAUUGCUCAUCCCCAUAAUGGUUUCUUUGACAUUGUUCCCGUGCCCUCCCCUCCAUGAGAUGCAUCCCACCCUCCUAGGUCAUGUGACUGGACGGCACCCCUCGGAAGACACACGGCUGAUACAUUCACCUUGCUUCAUUAAUGACCGAUAAAAACACAUCCUCUUUUAAUUACUUUUAUCUUGUUGGAUGUUUUAUCCCUUCAACCCAACCCCAAAGGGACUAAUUAAGCAGCGGAAGACUGGUGCUCAACGCCGUCCCUUUUAUAAAACGCACACAUGCAGACUACAGUUGGUGUUUUACUUGGCAGGAGCUGACUGUGAUCUUGUGGAGCUGACUUAUGAGAGUUUAGUGUUUUAUGGCAAGUCAUCAAACUUCACCACCACACUGAGCCCACACGAAAUGACAAACUCAAAAUGCCUCACCAUUUAGUGUCGUCCAUCUGUCUAGAAUACGUAGUUCUAAUUUGGUACUAAUCAAACUAUGUGUCUUUUGGGGCAUGUGUUCUUAGACUUUUGUGCGUUGUGCGUGUGAUAAGACACUAAAUUUUAUGUUGUAAGUGACACUGGCUCCAGUGUCAAUAUUCCAGGGCAUGAUGCUAAAUGUGAAUUUUAAACAAAACUACCCUGCCAGAAACCAAAAUGGCAGUCUUCCUGUGUCUUUUGGGCAAUGGGAUCUUGUGACUUUUUUGCAGUAAUACUCAAUGCUGGAUAUUUGUAUUAAAUCUCAUGUUGAAUAGAAACUGACUUCAGGGGCUGGAUUUUUGAAAGAUUCUGCGAGAUCCUCCCAAAUGUAAGUUUUCAUCGAAAUGUCCCUGAACUGGUAGACUUCCAAUGUCUUUUGAGCAUUACAUCUUGAGACUUUUUCUGUGGUCUACUCAUGAUUGCCGCGGCUAGCAAAUAAUAUAUUGCUAAGUAAAACUGAGUUUGCGGGUUGAAUUUUCUUAACAUUCCGCGGAUGCUCCCAAAAGUAAUUAUUCACCAAUUGACCCUAAAAUGGCCACUUCAAACCAAAGUCGCAGACUUCCAGUGACUUUUCAGGCAUCGCUUCUUGAGACUUUUUUUUUGUGGUUCUACUCAUGAUAGACCUUGCUAUUAAUCUCGUUUUGUGAAACUGGCUUCAGUGGCUGAAAUUUUAAAACAUUCUGGGAAUGCUAGCGAUUCCAAGCAGAAAUUUUCACUAAUUGACCCUAAAAUGGCCACUUCAAACCAAAAUGGCAGACAUGCCGUAUGUGUUUAGGGAUGGGUUGUUUGGACUUUUUUGUGAGUGUACGCAGGAUAGACAUGUUUACAAAAUUGCGUGUUGCUUAGUGAAACUGACUUCAGGAGAAUACAUUUUCACAAAAUUCAUUCCUUGGUCCAUUAUGUCGGAACUGUUAUUGUUUCCAUUCUAGUCAUUUGCCUUUACGAUAAAUGCUAUUUGUCUUGGCAUCUACUUAGUAAAUUUAAUUAAUUGCAUUGUAUUGAGCAUUGGUUCCAUAACCUCUUGUAUGGUUCUCAUCAAACUUCUUAGCCAUCACUGGUACCACUCUCGGGCCUUCCGUGAUGAGUGACCCCUCGUGUGUAUUGACGUCAAGCAUCAUUACUGCGAACUACACGUACACGCCCCGAAUGGGCCCUGACACAUUUCAAUAUGCCGCAUUGAUUCCGACAUAUAAAGACGCCGCCGUUAUGUCCACCUCCCGUGGGUUCACUUAGCGCCCCGGGUCCAAUAACAGUUGAGACAGAGCGGCGGUGUCCUGGAUCAUCCUUCACUCAUUUUGUUUUCUAAUGAACCGUCACAUUAGCGCACGUACCAGAUGAAUGGAGUCCCCCUGCAGCACUUGUAGCUGUGUUAUUACAGCAUAAUUGAUGCCCCCCCCCCCCCCACACUCAAACCCCUUGUUGUUGUCGGGGGCGGGUACUCACAUCUGCUGUCAUAAUACAACUGCUGACCUUGCUGUCACAUCACAGCAGCUGCUGCAAAACAGCCCCGUGUUGUUUGAGAGGGCUCACUCUCCAUGUGUUGCAUCAGUCACAGUGUACUCGAUGCACAUAAAAUGACUGUUCACACGGAGCAUAGCUUUCCCUCGCUAGCUUACAAUGAACGAGAGCUAUACACAAAAAAACAAGUACUAUAAGGUAAUACUAAUUCCCUUUUUGAAGAGCCAUACUGUAUACUGAGCAGCCCUGACGAGUGGCAGUGAGUGCUUGCAUUGGUAUGUUGCUCAGUGAACCUGACUUCCACUCUGGUACGUCUCCUACCAAACAAAGUUGCACCAAAAUUACCCUAAAAUGGCUGAUUCAAACCAAAAAUGGCAGACUUCCUGUGCAUUUUCAAGCACUGGUACUUGAGACUUUUUCGUGAUAUACAUGCUGACCAGAUUCCAUGUUGCCUGGUGAAACAGGCUUCAGGGGCAGAAUUUUCUAAAUAUUCCAAGAGCUGCUACCGAUUGCAAAUUGUAACCAAAAUGACAGCUUUAAACCAAAAUGCUAACUGCUCACCGAAGAGUCUGUGUAAUGUAGUUUUUUCGUGUCGUCAUCGUACCUAGUGAGCUAAAUAGCUAACUAACAAAACUAGCUACAAAAAAAACAUCCAUCUAUCCAUCCUUUUUCUAUAUCCUGUUCAGCCUAUCCUAGUUGACUUUGGCCAAAAGGCGGAUUACACCCUCGAUUGGUAGUCAGUCUAUCACAGCACACAUAUCGAGACAGACAACCAUUCACUCUCACAUUCACAACAUCACUGAGUGGGAACUCAACCCACGCCGCCUGCAUUGAAGUCAGACAAAUGUACCACGACACCAUCAGUGACUAAACAACAAAUCAAAUCAUAAUUUAUCUUGCAGCGUAAUUCACACAACUAGCUAAAUCAAAACAUAUUUUCCUCUUUUAGCUAAAUUCAUGCUCAGCUAAUUACUAACUAGUUAACUACCAGAGGACUACCUACUUAAAUUAAGCCCAUUUUUUGUGUAAUUCCUGCUUUCUGUUAGUCACUAGCUAACUAACCAGCAAACUAAGUAAAAAAAAUACAUAACUAGUAAGCUAACUACCCAGCUAAGCAAAACAUAAUCGCUCUUUUAGCAUAAUUCAUGCUUGGCCAACAACAACCUAUCUGACUAACUAGCUAACAAACAAAUCUAUGCAUUUACUCUUUUAGUUCAUGUUAACUAACUAACUACCCAGGGUUGAACCCCGGUCCUCAGAACUGUGAGGCAGAUGUGCUAACCAGUCGUUCACCGUGCUGCCGCGAACUAACUCAUUAGCUUUAUUUAAAAAAACAAAAAAAAUACCAUAUGUCACUACUGGCGAACUACUGAUUAAAUAACUAGCUUCUUGCUAACUAGUUAGAACUAACUAAACUCAAAUUAUUAAAAUUUCUUUUCUAGCGUAAUUGAUGCUUGGCUAUCAAACAAGCUCGAUAACUAAAAACUAACUGCAAAUGAUGUCCUCGUUUUACGACGGAGUUCCGUUCCAAACACGACGACGUAACCCAGUCUACCAUUAAAAUAGUAAAGUUAUAAUUACAGUAAAUAUAUGAAACACUAAAACUAUCCAAGCAGGAAAUACAGCAAGUAGUGCAAUGACGGGCCGUCGCAAACCGAGGAGUCCGACUCGCAAGCGUAGCAACAUGGCCCCUUUAAAUAGUCCCGCCGCUGUCAAAUGUGUCUCCUAAUGCAGUCAAGAGGAAAUGGCAGCGAGACAGCCCGAGCCCGAGACCGAGACCGAGACAGAGACACCCCCGCACCGCUUCCUGUAGCCGCGAUGACGUCUCCGCCUCUAAAUCCUCGAUGCGGCGUGACGUCACAGGGCUGUAGUGGUGGUGGAGCCUCGUCUUGUUGACGCUCCGCCGCCGCCGCUAGACUUUUCCAGUACUGAGAAGACCCCCGGCGGGUGAGGAGCAAGCGGACGGAGGCAACAUUUCGGAACAUCGAAAAUUCUCCAUCAUGUGUGUGUCCAUCUACCGGAGGAUCAACGUUGUUUAAAAAAAAAAAAAAAAAGGGGGGGAAUAAAAAAAAAAAAAAAAGGAGCUGUUACAAAAA